AUUACGCGUGUGUCCGAAGGGAGA
rnacentral:piRNA from 1 species